GAAAUGCGAUAAGUAAUGUGAAUUGCAGAAUUCAGUGAAUCAUCGAAUCUUUGAACGCACCUUGCGCUCCUUGGUAUUCCGAGGAGCAUGCCUGUUUGAGUGUCAUUAAAUUCUCAACCUCAUCAGUUUUGUUAUGAGACUGUGCGAGGCUUGGAUURUGGGGGUUUGUGCAGGCUGCCUCAGCGCGGUCUGCUCCCCUGAAAUGCAUUAGCGAGUUCCAACUGGGCUCCGUCUAUUGGUGUGAUAAUUAUCUACGCCGUGGAUUGGGCUUAGACUUGCUUCUAACCGUCCGCAAGGACAAUCUUUUGACAAUUUGACCUCAAAUCAGGUAGGACUACCCGCUGAACUUAA
rnacentral:rRNA from 1 species